rnacentral:rRNA from 1 species
UACGUAGGUGGCAAGCGUUGUCCGGAAUUAUUGGGCGUAAAGCGCGCGCAGGCGGUCCUUUAAGUCUGAUGUGAAAGCCCACGGCUCAACCGUGGAGGGUCAUUGGAAACUGGGGGACUUGAGUGCAGAAGAGGAGAGUGGAAUUCCACGUGUAGCGGUGAAAUGCGUAGAGAUGUGGAGGAACACCAGUGGCGAAGGCGACUCCCUGGUCUGUAACUGACGCUGAGGCGCGAAAGCGUGGGGAGCAAACAGG